AAGACUGUCAAAUGUUUGCAUAUGGAAAUGCAUAAAUAGUCUUAAAUUACAAUUAUAUUUGUACAAGAAGAGCUAUAUUAUUAUCAUCUAUGGACAAUGUAUUGUAGUGAUGCACCGACAUGAAAAUGAUUGGCUGAAAACAAAAAUGAGGAACCCUAGGCCGAAAACCGAAACACCGGAAGAAAUGAUUAUGCCAAUUAGUCAUAAAAUUGCCUUUAUGGCUAUGCCCAUGUACUAUCCUCACCAAAAAUCCUGUCACAAUAUUUGAUUGACUGCCAACCAGUCCAGGGUGCACCCCACUUCUUUCACCAAAAGGCAACCAGGAUAGGCUCCAGCUCACCUGUGAGCCUAAAUUGUCUUGAAGCGUGAAUAUGAGGGUGCAUUUUCAUUUGUCUUUAUGUGCCCUGACAUUGGCUGACGAUCAAUCAAGGGUUUACCCCACUUUUUUCACCAAAAGUCUGCUCUAACUCACCCGAGCGUGAUCAUAAAUUGUCCCUAGAUAUAAAUGUUUGCUUAUUGAUAUGUAUGUGCUCUGUCAUUGACUGUACGUCACCCCACUUCUCUCGCUAAAAGUCAACCGGGACAGGCUCCAGCUCACAGUGACCCCCGUAUGCAUAAAUAUGACUGCAAGUGUUAAUUCUUGUUUGUCAAUAAGUUGCCCCUGCCAACGGCUGGCAACCACUCCAGGGUGUAACCAACUUCUGUCGCCAAAAGUCAACUGGGAUAGGCUCUUCCUUUCAUUGGCAAACCUUCACAGGCGUAAGCGUUGAGUGUGAAUGCUUGGUUGUGUAUAAGUGCCCUGACAUUGACUUGCAACCAGUCCAGGCUGUACCCCACUUCUCUCUUCAAACAAAUAUACGGCGUCAUCACAACAAGAAGUGGUGGCCCGAUUGGUCAUAAAGUCACGUGUAGUCAGGUGUGUGCUGAGAAAAAGCAGCUGGUGUGAGGUGAGCAAACAAGACGCAGGUGCACGGCGUGGAACACCUGGUGGCGCCGUCCUGAGCAAACAGACGCCACAGGAAGUGCUCUGGACAAGAGGCAAAACAAACCAGGGUGCUGGCUAAAUGUCAACAACGACAUGGAGGACAAAGGCUGAUGGCAGGCUGAUGGCACAGGUUCCCUUGCCAAGGGCGGCGGGGAUCAUGAGCACAUUCAAAUGUCAAAUACGCCUCGGGAGAAAAUCAAACGCUACAUGCGGAAAUCCCGAGACUUUUGCUCCACCGCAAGAUACAAUUUGCAGUUUGGUGCGUAAACUUUCUAGGACGUCACAUCGUUCAAGCUUUUUAUGACAGAUUAUUUCCAUGGGGGCGGCACGGUAGAUGACCGGUUAGCACAUCUGCCUCACACUUCUGUGGACCGAGGUUCAAAUCCCGGCCCCACCUGUGUGUAGUUUGGAUGUUCUCCCCAUGCCUGCGUGGGUUUUCUCCGGGCACUCCGGUUUCCUCCCAAAUCCGCAAAAACAUGCAUGGUAGUUUGAUUGAAGACUCUAAAUUGCCCUUAGGCGUGAAUGUGUGCGCGAAUGGUUGUUUGUUUAUAUGUGCCCUGCAAUUGGCUGGCGACCAGUUCAGGGUGUACCCCGCCUCUCGCCUGAAGAUAGCUGGGAUACUCUCCAGCACGCCCGAUACAGACAAUGGAUGGAUGAAUGGAUGGAUUCAUAUUUGGUUGCACACACUUUAGCAGCGAUGACAGCCUCCAAAGGUUUCUUGUAUCCAUCCAUAAGCUUUUUGCACUUUUCAGGCGGUAUUUUUUUCUGACUCUUCUUUUGCAAUUUGUUCAAGCUCUUGAACAUUCGCAGCUUCUUUCCCCCAAUGGCAGAUUUCAGCUCCCCCACAAAGAUUUUCAAUUGUAUUGAGGUCAGGACUCAUUGCUGGCCAUUUUAAAACUUUCAAUUUUUUUCCCUUUUCAACCAUUCCUGUGUGCUUUUGAAUGUGUGCUUUGGGUCUUUGUCUUGCUGGAGGACCCAUGAUCUUCGCCUCAAACCAAGUUUUCUUACACUGGGUAAAACAUUUUGCUCUAAAAUCUCUAAUUUUCUGAUUUCAUGAUACCUGUGCUAGAGUCAAGGCCUCCAGUACCAGAUGUAACAAAGCAGCCCCACAGCAUUAUUGAUCCUCCACCAUGCUUGACUGUUGGCAGGGUGUUCUUUUCCUUAAAGGCUUCAUUGCACCGUCUGUAAACAGACUGUUUGUGUGCAUUGCUAAAAAGCUCUAUUCUUGUUUCGUCUGUCCAUAAAGUAUCGGUAUUGUUUUAUCAUUUGCUCUUUUGUAUCAAACACAAGUUCUCUUUAGAAAAAUCUUGUUUCACUUGAUUCAUUUUCUUCAGGAGAUAUCCGACAUUUAGUACUUAAACUUCAUGGGUGCCAAUAAUGGUGAGCACGACCAUAUUCAUGAACAAUCUGCCACAUACACUGAUGUUGUAAACACGUACACCGAUUUAAUAUAUAUGUAAACUUUAUGUGAUAUAAUUCUUGUGUGCUGAUGUAAUUUGUGAUGAUUUUAUUUUUGUUGGAGGUUGCUGUUAAGGUGACUAAAUUGUGACUAUAAUUGAUUAAAAUGUGGAACUAACGCGCUGAAUGCCA